rnacentral:sRNA from 1 species
CAGAUUUUUAUAUUCUUGAUAAAUAUCCAUUGGCUGUAAGACCUUUCUAUACCAUGCCUGACCCAAGAAAUCCCAAACAGUCCAACUCUUACGAUAUGUUCAUGAGAGGAGAAGAAAUAUUGUCAGGAGCUCAAAGAAUACAUGAUCCUCAACUGCUAACAGAGAGAGCUUUACAUCAUGGAAUUGAUUUGGAGAAAAUUAAGGCUUACAUUGAUUCCUUCCGCUUUGGAGCCCCUCCUCAUGCUGGUGGAGGCAUUGGUAAUAUUCUGUUAUUGCUUACAAAUAAGUUCAUAAGUUCUAAGUAUAAUACAAAUUUGAAUUACAAGAAUUUUUAAAAGUGAAUUACGACAUAAGUAAAAAUUUGAUUUCCAAGAAACAAAAUAAACAGCUAACUUGUGUGUUAUAAAAUAUUAUUGUCAUAAAGUUCUAGCCAUUUUUUUCUCUUAAGAAUUUAGAAGCCAAAUGUCUUGUAAGUGGAGUAUCCUGUUUUCUCUCUGCUGCUGUGAGUUCAUUCGCAUUAGCACAAAUUAAAGCUCUACCUUAAAAUA